GCUAGCGUUGCUCGGACUUACUGGGCGUAAAGGGCGCGUAGGCGGAUACUUAAGUCGGGGGUGAAAGCCCAGGGCUCAACCCUGGAAUAGCCUUCGAUACUGGGUAUCUUGAGUUCGGGAGAGGUGAGUGGAACUCCGAGUGUAGAGGUGAAAUUCGUAGAUAUUCGGAAGAACACCAGUGGCGAAGGCGACUCACUGGCCCGAUACUGACGCUGAGGCACGAAAGCGUGGGGAGCAAACAGG
rnacentral:rRNA from 1 species